UCAGUUUAUGGAAAAAAUGAAUGCCUACCAACCUUUUUCUUUCUUCCACCAAUAGUGCUUUUAGGCCAUAGCCCUUUAUAUACACCACCGCAUCUUCCUCGAGCAGAAUACAACCUUCAUAUUUCCAUUCUAUCUUAAGAUGUUAGUAUAACUUUUCUUAAUGUCGGCAGCAUUAGCUUGGUACAUCAAAUAGGAGAUGGUCACAUAUACAUACUAAGUAGAGAAUGAGAGCACAAACAAUAGAACGUUAGAACCAGUGUGAACAGAAGACAUCGGGAACAAUGUUGGUGCCACCGGUGAAGGGUCCGAUGGGAAAUAUCAGAUUCCGGAUUUUCAUGGGAGCUCCCUCUUACGUUUCUUUCCUGUGUUUCUUCUGUUAUUAGCUCGUCAUGUAUUAUUUACGGCCAAAACCUUGCUGUUUAGAGAAGUCCCGUUGACGUAUUGUGCUCUUUGGUAAACUGAAUGAUUAUGAGAGCGGUAAUAAAAAAAAGGAUGUUUUUCGUCUUCCAUUUUAUUAUUUUCUUAAAUUAAGAAAAAAGAUUUCAAAAUAGAGAGCUGAAACUGACACUGUUUCAAACUCGUGGCUUGCAACAUUACUUGCCUCAGGUUUUUCUACUCCCAUCUUAUUGUUCUCCUAGCUGGGUUAUACUCCCUCCGUUCCUAAAUAUACGACAUUUUAAAGAUUGCACUGUAAACUACAUACGGAUAUAUAUAGACAUAUGUUAGAGUGUACAU
rnacentral:lncRNA from 1 species